rnacentral:misc_RNA from 1 species
AGUCCCCGUCCUCUAUUUACACGACGAAAAAAGGGACUGUACCUGAUUUCGGCUAAAUAGAGUUAUCCCCCUCCUCCCUUUAACGCUUUUUAGAAGCAAAACAAACUGUUAAUGUCGCAGUUGACUAGUCAAAUCAUAGACGUCGGUAUCUACAGAUGUUGACGUCGAAUCGUUUCACGUGUAAGCUUCUGGGUUUGGUUUUUAGUUUUUCCUCUCCUAAACUCUCCCGUAGGUUAUAAUGAAAAUAUUGAAAGAAAAGAGUUGAAACCCUUUACUCUGUGCGAUCCAAAAUUACAGCCACAGGUGACCUAAAGUUUCUACGCAAUGUUGAUUCAUUUUAUUUGAAUGAAGUAACGUUUCAGAAAAUUAAUCUGCACUUUUCACCUCAAGACCAAGAUACAGAUUAGAAUAUUUGCUGUUGUCCUAAACAAAACUUUGAAAGAUAUGUCGACAGACUUUUGGGACUAGGGUGAGUUAGACGUUGAUUCUGAUUGCCCUUCUAGAGAUAGUCGAUGAUCAGUUGGUUUAUUAUUGGUGUUGUGUGUUUGUGUGAUUUUUAUGCGUUUUUCUUAAUCUGUGAUCAGAAAGCUAACAUAAUGGCUGAAGUCGUCUCAGCAUCGUUACAUAGUCUGUCCAACUUACCUGACAAUAUUUUGUUGGAAAUUAUUGCCUAUCUUCCCGUUCACUGCUUGGGAAGACUGGCUUGUGUAAGUCAACGGUUUUGCAAGAUUGUUCAAGAUGACAUGAUUUGGAAACGCAUGUUCUGUAAGCAGUAUAAGGUGGUAUUACCACUUCCUCCAGGAGCUGAGUCGUGGCGUAGUGAAUAUCAGCGACUGAGUGACCAAGCUCCUGUUGUACUAUGCCAAGUGCUCAGAGGUCACAGAGCUGAGGUGCUGCAUGUCAGCUUUUCGCACAGUGGUCACAUAUUUGCUACUAGCUCCAAAGAUGGAAUAGUUAUGGUAUGGAAGGCAGACAUUCCUUGCUCACUGCAAUUCAGUGUCAACACAGUCCAUAGGCUGAACUGGGUGUACACUGUCUUCUCACAGUUCAGCAUGUCUGACACCAAGCUACUUGUCUCAGGCUAUCACAGCAGCAGCUUCAGUGCCUUUGGCCAACUUGCUGUUUUUGAUUUGCAAAGCUUGGAACUUGUCUCUCUCGUGGAGAAUGACCCUUUGGAUCUCUAUGGUGCGUGGUAUGAUGACAAUCACUUUCUGUCAGGAACUAUCCAGCAGACUGAGAAUGACACAUCUAUUUCAUCUAUAUGGUUAAACAAGAUAAGUGGGACUUCCUCAGUCAAAACAGCUGGCGUGGCAAGUUGCCUGUAUCACUUCCAGAAUGUGAGCAGUGGCUGCAUUCGCACUAUCUUGCUGGCUGACUGUUCUUCCCCUCGACUGCCUUUGUUGACAACUGCUGAAUGUGGUCAGAGUAGACACAGUGCAAGCGACUGUUUUGAAAAUAGCUGUGACAAACGGUGGCCUCUGACCUUGGAAGACGAGUUACACAACACCACACUAGGCAUGGGAUUUGAAAAAAAAUCGAGUGACCAUAGCAGUGGUGGUCAAAAAGCUGCUUUGGUGCCAACAUUUGCAGGGUCUUUUAUGCAGUCUGUUUCAUGUGAACAUGUAGAAUCAUUUGAAAGUGCAUUGGAUCAGAAACAAACAGGAAGAACUUCAGCCGUGCAAAUUUCCACCCAUGAAGGCAAGCUGUUAGUAUGCUCUAUGAGCUUAGACACAUAUGCACCACAUGUGAUAGGCAUCAAACGGUUACAGAUGGAGAAAAUUAAAGACAGCAUGUCAGCAGGCGAGGGAUGGGUUGAACGAUCAGAUGGUGUUCAAAAUCUGCCAGAUAUGCAUGCUGACAUGGCUAUAAACCAUCAAAUUGAUUCCAUGGAUCAUGAGAUCAACGUACAUGGACGUAUUGUGGGCAUGGCAUUAUCCCCAGAUCAUAGAUGUGAUGGAGCCACCACCGAUGUCAAAGAAUAUGGAAGUUCGUGUUCUUGACCUUCAAUCUCUGCAGGAAACAGGCUCUGUGUUUAGUUCACAUAAAGCUUUCUCCCCCAACCAUCAGUGUUUCUUCGUCUUCUUGGAUGUCAGCAAGCACUAUGUUGCAAGUGGUGCUGAAAACAAGCAGGGCUACCUGUGGGAUCGUGACUAUAACGUAUUUCUUGGUAGCUUCCUCCACUCGGAUGUUGUCAGUUGUGUGGCAUUCAAUCCAUGCAAUGAGGAGAUGCUAGUUACUGUUGGUGAUG